UUAUUAUUUAUCAUUACUAUUAUUAUUAUUAUUAUUAUUAUUCGGCGCCAUAUUAUGAUGUGGCGCCAAGCAAGAAAAUUUGUAAUCGCAGCAUCAUCACCUUUUAUCUCUGUAUUUCCGAGUGGCGAGGUUACGAAAUGAGGCCGAGUGAACCUGAGAAUGAGGCUUCGGAUGGCUCACGCAUUACACUCUUCCCUCCGCCGCCAGUCACCACCAGGCCGUGCGUCCGUGCAGGGAGGCGUUGCGUGUGUGAUCCUCCAGCGGCGGCCCGGCAAACAGGGGAGCGAGGGAACGACUGGGAAAGUGGCUGCCAAGGCUUACCCAUGAGUUAAACCUUCUUUAGUUGGUAAUGAAGAAGGCGUGGGCUCUAGCAGUGGACACCCGAAGGCAGCAGUGGGUGAAAACAAGCAAAAUAAAGAAAAGUUUGGCUAUGAGAAGGUGCUAGACAGCCAGCCAUAGUGACAAGGAGGCAGGAACAUCACCAUCACCACCACAGGGAAGCCACAAGCCCUCCUAGCCGUGACGUCAUCAGAGUGGUACCUUCCCUAACUCCCUUCCAGUCCCUCCCGUGAGAGAUGGGGAGGAGGAUUUAAGAGGACAUGUUUGCAGUGCGCUGUCAGCCCUCACCUGCGCCGCCUCCCCCAGUGAGCGGGUGUAGGCCUGGGAAUAGAACAUAUGCAGACGUCUUGGCAGUGCUGUGUAUGUCUGUUUGUCGAUGGUCAAGAAGGAACGUAGCAAAAGUUUAAGGAGUGAAUGAGGCGGGAUGAGUCGCCCCUCUGAUGGGUACUUUGGCCGAGGGUCACGCCGCAUGGUCAGUGAGGUACGGCCAGCAUUAUGGUGACUCCUAUGGCGGCGGCAGAUGGGUAACAGUAGUGGUGGGUGAACCGCUCGACUUCAGGACAGAGGUGGAAGAGAUGUGGAGAAGGAAUGAAGAUCCAGCCAGUGCUCAUCCCCACAUCACUGACUGCAUUCAGGAGUUGGGCCACCUGAGGGAGCGUGCUGAGGAGUUCCAUGCAAAGUUGAUGGCUGAGAUGGGAGAAAUAUGGAGGCCUGCAGUGCAUGGCAGAAAGGAAGAUUGUGUGUGAGGUUUUGUAUUAAUCCAUAUUG